rnacentral:lncRNA from 1 species
CAGCAUUGCUAUUUACAGCGAAUUCAAAUAUCACGAAUUCAUCACAACAAUAGGCGCACCAAUCAAAAUACACGUUUCUGCAUAAUAUACGGAAGUUGCAUAAUACAUACAAUACAAGGUUAAAUAUGGAUGAUUUCUUUUGUAAAAAAAAUUGGAUGAUAUAUAUUGUCAAAAAAAAAAAGAUGAAUUAAAUAUAAUUUUAUUAGUCCACAAAUCUUAAUUCAACUGACAGAAAUGUUGAAAUUGCUAGUGUCGGACGUCAAUAAAAAAAAUAUAAUUUUAUUAAAAGCCAAAAGUGUAAGAUAAAAGUAACGACAUGUUGAUUUAACAACAGAGACUAAAAUUAUUCAAAACUAAAAUUAAGUAACAGAACAUCCCGUGAACUUAUUUCAGUUGAUAUAGGAUAUUGUAUUAUAUAUGUAAGAAGCCGGAGUUUGAGACCCGAUCAUCUCAGAAAAUUGUAAAAAUCAAAUUGAUUCUUAAUAAAAAAAAAAAUACUCAACUCAUAAACUUGUCUUCAUGAAGUAUGCUUUGGAUUUACCAAAAAAAGAAGUAUGCUUUGACCCCAUCUACCGCCCACUAAAAUGCAAGUACUCAAUAAAUAACCACUUCGUGAUUAUGUCGUGAAAAGCUUUUCGCGAUAACAAGCAUUUU